UACGGGGGGUGCUAACGUUGUCCGGAAUUACUGGGCGUAAAGCGCAUGUAGGUGGUUUUUGUAAGUCAGUGAUGAAAGACCGACGCCUAACGUCGGAACCGUUUUCUGAUACUGCAUGACUUGAGGAAAACAGGGGUACGCGGAACUUUCGGUGUAGGAGUGAAAUCCGUAGAUAUCGAAAGGAACACCAAUGGCGAAGGCAGCGUACUGGGUUUACCUGACACUGAGAUGCGAAAGCGUGGGGAGCAAACGGG
rnacentral:rRNA from 1 species